UACGUAGGGUGCGAGCGUUAAUCGGAAUUACUGGGCGUAAAGCGGGCGCAGACGGUUACUUAAGCAGGAUGUGAAAUCCCCGGGCUCAACCUGGGAACUGCGUUCUGAACUGGGUAACUAGAGUGUGUCAGAGGGAGGUAGAAUUCCACGUGUAGCAGUGAAAUGCGUAGAGAUGUGGAGGAAUACCGAUGGCGAAGGCAGCCUCCUGGGAUAACACUGACGUUCAUGCCCGAAAGCGUGGGUAGCAAACAGG
rnacentral:rRNA from 1 species